AAACUUUGGACACGAGAUAUGGUAUUAAUAUUGGAUUGCUUAUUUUCUUGGGCCGGCUUGAGACGCUUAAUCUUCAGACAAGCGAGAGUAUCAGUUAAUACAGGGGGAGAGAAAAUCUAAUAGUGCAAUAGUGGAUUGGUGCUCAUUGGCUGGGUUUACUAUGGGCUUAUUAGAAGCUGACACCUGGACUUAUGGCUCAUUGACACCUCUAAUGCUUAUUCUUCUUGUUAUUAAGUCAUCAAUUAGUUUAUGUUUACCAAAAAGAAAAAACUCCAUAGCUUGAAAAAGAGAGAUUUGUGCAAGAUAUGUUUGGAAUGUUAUCAUGCCUGACAGUAAGGCCACAUGGAUGGGGCAUGUUUUCCGUUUCUCUAGCUUACACCCAUGCAGUGUUCUAGGAAAUUCUUUUAAGGCAACACAUGACGCAAUGCAACUCCAAUGAACUUUAGUGCCAUUUUCUUUUUUUUAUAAUCCUGGAGUACGGAUAUUGAGGCUUGAAUUUAUAGAAGCCCACGAAACAUUGUAGUCCCAUGAACCACAAUCAUUUGCCCUAAGCAAAUCGACUUGAACAGAAGCAAUUUGCAGAAUACCCCCACCAACUAUUUUCGUGACCUAAUCUCGCCGCCAAUCUCAUUCACGAGGAGAGGAAGGGAAAGGUCGGGUUUAGGGAUACUUGAACACAAAAAUUUCUCAUGGUUCUCAACCAUAGGGAAUUGCACAAACUAACCUAGGAAGUUUAUCAAAACAAUCACAAUCAAGUUCAUAUCAGAAAAUUUCAGAACAAGCAUGUAAAGACAGCGAAAUUGGGCAAUGCCUAAUAACAAUUUGGUGAUGAAAAAAUUCCCUCACAUGCACGACAGGACAGCAAACAACUUUUAGAAAGAAAAUUUUCCUAAAUUAGCUACACGUGAUUUUACAAAAAUCAGACGACAAGCAACAACAUGUCAGAAAAUUGUCAAAACGGCAGAACACUCAACUAAUAUCGCAAGAAUUUGUCCUAUCGAAACAAUUCUAAAAAUCAUUAUAUUUUCACACAACAUAGCCAACAUGUUGACAAACAAGUUUCAUUAGGAGACUAAGUGUAAAAUCCUUACAGAAAGAAAUAGAACAAAAAUGUCAAAUGUCUAUCUAAACAAGAGUUAGAACAGGGGUCCAAAUUUGAUCUCGUGUUCAGAUUUUAAUCUAGUUUUGAAAAAAAUAGAAGGUGGUCCAAACGAUGAGCAAUCUAUGUGAGAUUAGUGGUAUUGGAAACUUCUAAGUGUGCCUUACAAUUUCCUAGAAUGGCUCAAGUCCAAACUAGGUCAAUUAGGUGCUCUAAUAUCGAGAUCUCUAAGAGUGCGCGUGUCAGAAACUAAGAAAAAAUAGAACUCAAGCAUGCAUUAGAAAACGUCAAAGUCAUUCAAAUAAUGCACAAACGGCAUGAAGAAAUUGCAUAGGACUUAGGAUCGGAUGCAAUGGAAAAUUUGGAUAACCAUUUAAUCCUAAGUCAGCAUGCAAAAUGCCAUACGAUUUAAAUGACAUUAUGAAAUGAUUUGAAACCAAACAAGCUCAAUUGUGGAUUCAAUUUUACCAAAACAAAAUUCGGACCAAUGUAGGGCAAGUUAUCCUAUAUUUGGAUCUAAGCGAUUUUAAUCAAGUUAAUCACGUCCAAAAAUCCGAAAAAAAAAAUACAGGAUAUUCUCCACACAAUUAUGAGCAAUCUUCAUGGAAAAAAAAAGUUCCUCUAGAACGCAACAUAGAAAUUAGUACAAAAAUGACAAAAUCAUAGAUCAACACAUAACAAACUGACCUAGGCUCAAAUCUGAGUGGACUUGACCUAGUUAAACACAUCCAAAAAUCUUGAAAAAAUUACAAGACAUGCAUAAGAUUAUUUGAAACAAAACUCAUGAGGCAAGAUUGUCCAGAAAUCAUCACAGAAGGCUACAUGAAAAUAGUAAAUUCUCAUUUUGGAACAAGAGCAUAACUAAAAAUCCACUUAAACUCCUAUAGAAUCGCUCAUCUUCGGAUGUGUUUUUGAGCAUCAAAAGACACUUGAUUGGGCAUGCGACCUAUUGAUUCGAAGCUUGCAAUGUUUUAUUUUAAAUGUCUAAGAGGCCUCGAGUUGAAAUGAGGUUGUUUAGGACCUCAUUUUGGCCAAAUCAUUGGAUCAGUCCUAUAGCUAUGAAAUUGCAAAUUCAAGUUAAAUCAACUACAAUCAUUCAAGUUCAUUCAAAAACACUCAUCCACAGCAAAUCAAUAUCUCAAGUCUCUGUCAAAACGCCCUCCCUAUGAGAGAGAACCUACAUAAAAGGAAAAUUAUUCAAGAUCCAUUAUGCCCGUUCUACCACUCUAGUAUCGAAACUACAGAGCGCCUUUUUUUCUUGUGUAAAUGGACAAGGAAAAUAUGGGAUGACUCGAGAUUUGAUGGGAUCAGACCCAGAAAUAGCAUAAAGCGAACAGAUCAGUGGAUCUUCGAAACUUUUAGAGGAGAUCAGCUCUUACCUGCACGAGAGCUCACUGGUAUGCUUCUGUGGAACAUCUAGAAGGCGAGAAAUAGCUGGAUUUUUCGAGCAAAAUACCCCAGACCAGCAGAUCUACUGAUUUCGGCACAGGAACAACAGAUGUCUUUCAGUCGAGGAAAGUCAAAACAAAAAUUACGACAACUCACACGAGACAAACCUAAUCAGUGGAGACCUCCGGAAGGACGGGAUCUGAAGCUGAACGUUGAUGCAGCAUGGUGUUCAGGCGAGUUUUUGUGUUCUGUGGCUGGAGCAGUGCGUGAUUCGUCUGGAAGAGCUAUCGAAGGCUUCGCUUCCACGGCUAGGGUUUCUUCGUCGCACGAAGCGGAAGCUGAGGCGAUUUUACACGGGAUCUUAUAUACCCGGGAACUUCAGUUGCGACACGUGGGAGACUUCGGAAGUCGAAGAGUUAAGUGGACAAUUGAAAGCGACUGUUCAGCGGUGGUAGAAAUGGUAGUGGGUCGGGCCGACCCUUCGUGGAACCUAAAUGUAAUUGUGCAGCGUUGCAGGAGUGCGCUAAUUCAAAGCAACAACAUCACGGUGAUCCAUUGCCCACGCAAAGCAAAUGCAGCAACAGAUUAGCUUGCACGGAAUCAUCGAGUACAUAAUCUCCCUCUAAAUUGGUUGAAUUCACCCCCCGCUUCCUCUAUGGAAUAUUUUAUGUGCAGAUCUUUAUCCAUAUGUGUUAUGUAAGACUUUUCCUUAACCGUUAAUAGCACGUACUAUUUUGACCCCAAAAAAAAAUCCAUCAUCUAGCAUCCAAACAUCACAUAUUUACUUAAAAUUGAACCCUAGCCCUGGUUGGAUGAUCCAACCUCGCUUCACGGAAUUCGAGCUUGCGAAGUUACCUUUUAACUUGAACUCGAACGCGACCGAUUGGGAUUGAACGGUUGCCGAUCAACAAUCGUUGGAGCUUCAUCGAACCUCAUGGAUCAUCAAGGAUUAGUGUCAAUCUACAAGAAGCAUGCAAAAGCAAUCAAAGUAGAAUCCAUGUUAACCAAAACCUAAAAGGAAAAAAGUGAUCCACUUAGCUUUUUUUCUUCGUGCUUAAACUUGAACACUUAAGAAGAUGAGACCGAAGUUUGUUGUAUCUCAGAUCGACUGGAUUUCGUUCAUCAUCAAUCUCUGGGCUUUAAUUUACGAGACUCAUCAAUGGACGCUUCGGCUUUAAACUUGAUGAUCGCAACCGUUUCUAAAGAGUUAUAACCUAGAAGCGUUUCUUCAAAUUCUCCUUCAACAAAAUCGACUAAAUCCAAUUAGCGAGAGUUGCCGAAGUGAAGAUAUAAUCCCAACAGGUAUAAACAUUAAGAAGACUUAGCUGAAUCUUGCUGCUGCGCUUUUUCUGGAAAUCAAAACGCCAGCAACUUCAAGCUUUUGAUGGCCAAACAGCGAGAGGAAAAUCCUGCAAUGGAAUCUCUAUUCGAUCAAAUCAGAAAAAUAUAGAUGAGAGAGAAAUGGCCGCAAGCUUCAUCAAUCUCCUUCAUAGUAGACAAAAUCAGCCGCUUCAUUUGUCUUUUGGCUAGAGAGAGAAUUAGUGGAGAAAUCCCCCACUUUGCAAGAGCUUGUUUGAUCGGAUAGGCCUCACAAACUCCCCAAAAGCUCGGAUCGGCAAUCGGAUCGCCGAUCUACGAGCUGGAUUGAACGCCUGUCAUAUCGUUGAUCCAGCUUCGGAGAUGUCCACCAUUCAACGCUAUGGGGCUGUUAAUCAACAGAAAUAUAUUGAACUCAGUGAAGAACCUGAAUCUGAUAACAUUCUAUAACUAAAAUAGAGAGAAGAAGUGGAAAACUUAGCUCCGAUUUUGUUAUCGAAACUUUUGGAAAUGGAGAAUGCCGAGCUUCAAUCAAUGAAGAUGAUCUCCAGAAACAAGACUUCAAAUCACAGAUCAGUGGAGAGAUGGAUUGCUAGUCUUAAUCGGAAUCGAAGCUCGACCCGGGAAGAAAUUGAAGUUUAUGAUCCUUUCUUUGAUGUUGCGAAUACAAGAUCGUUUCCUCAGCUUCUUCUUCAAUAAAAUCAACGAAAUCAACAUCAACAAAAUCUGUUGAAAUCAAAAUCUAAAUGCAACAAACAUGCAAGUAGAGAUUGAGAAGACUUAGCCGAAUCUAGAAUCUCAACUUGCUUUGGUCUUAGCUAUGAACAAUCUCCUUGGAUGGUGCGGUGAAGCUCAUGAAGAGCUCGAUCAUUCCCUUCGAUAAAAGACAAAAUCCGUUGCCUCGAUUGUAUUGUCCGCCAUGGACGGAAUGAGUGGAGUAAAUCCACGGAGAGAAAAUGAGUGGAGAGUUUUUGCUCAAACUUCAGCGAAGAGUUGCCUCCCUUUUUCCCAUUCUUCAGUCAAAUUUUUAUAGAUAGAGAGAACGAUGGAGAGAGAGAGAGAGAGAGAGAGAAAAUCUCUUGAAAUGAAUAUGGCCGAUAGAGAAAUUCGAGCGAGCCCUUCCUCUAGUUCGGCUGAACGUGGAGAGAUUGAGAGAGAAUUUGAGAGAGAGAGAUCUUUAGUCAGAGAAAGUAGAACUGAAAAGUGAGGUCCCCCUUAAAAUUUGGAGCGAAAGUUAGUCUUGGACAAGGUCAAAUCUUGGCUCUUGGAUUAAUCCAAAGGCUAAGGCUUGGUCUUCUUAGCUAAUUGGUUUAUUCAAUUUGUUAUGAACACCUUAAUCGAGCACAUGCUUAUUUUAAUAGCUACGAUGCAUUCUUAAUAAACGGAUGACAAUCAAUUGAGUACUAAUUGUUUUUUUUUUUCUUUUUUCUUUUUCUUUCUUUUUUUUUUUUUUGCAAUCUUCAUAACAGGAGGGAAUUAGUUUGCGAACUUCAUAAAUCCUAGGAUAAAAUUAGGAAUUUUGCAAAUUAAGGCCCUAGGAACAUUGGCCAUGGGAUGGACACUCUCAUGGUGGUCGCCGAACACCGUGAGGUCACCAAGUGAGAAAAAAUCGACACCUAGAAUCAGUGAUCAGUUAGACCACUAGGGCCGGUCCGAGCCGAUCUCAACCAAUCCUAUCCCUCUCUAUUUUUCUUUUGUGCAAUUUAGUCCCCUAGUGGUCUAAUUGCAAGACAAACUUGGUGUAUUGCAAACAAAGGUGUGCUAACUUGCCAAUUUCUUACUCAAAAGUGUCAACUAAUUGAAAUUAAGUUCAAUUAUGUUGUAAGGCACCAAUUGAUUCAAUAACCCAUGUCUAGAAUGACCCAUAGCGUUCAAAUGACCUUGAAAAGUAACAUGACUUUUAUGCUAGGAUUGAAUUGAAGACCAAUGAUGAAAUUGGAUCUCGAUUCUUGAAAUCAAACCUUAGUCUCGAAUGGGUCAAUUUGAAUUUUGCUAAUAGGAGCUCACUAGCUUAAUUUUCUUAAGCUCGGGUAAGCUAAAUCCCUCAAAGCGUAAUGUUCCCAAGUGAAAUUUUCAAAAUUAACCUUGGAUUCAGAUUUACUUCACAAAAAUGAAUAGAAAGGGAGUGUUCAUUCGCUAAUCAUGAAUAACCAACUCAGACCCCUAAUUAAGGCUAAAAAUGAUAAUUUGCCUUUCGACACUACAAUUCUCAAAAUUGAAUGCACGAGAAAAUUUUAAAUAAUCCCUAAACCAAAUGUUAAAGAAGGAAUUACACCAAAUUAUGACUAGAAUAAAAGUAAUUUUAUUUUUGGUCGAUUUAGAACCUAAAAUUAAAAUAUUUAGAAAUCAAGGUUCUUAAUCGAAUUUUGUGAAAUUUUCGAUACAAAAGUCAAAUUAGCAUUAAAAGAAAUGUAUUUGUGUAUUUUUUAUUUUUUGAUUUUUUUAGUCAAAGGUUUGACCAAAAAGUCAACCAUUUAGUUUAUUUUCUCUAAAAGGUUGAUUUCUUGGUCAAAUCUUUGAGUUUUUAAGAAAUUGAUUUGACAAAUGUGAAAUUAAGGUUAAAUGGUAUCUUUUUGGGUAAAAAGCCAAAUUUUGACCUAAGGUUGACUCUUGAUCAAAGGAUUAACUGAAAAGUCAACCCGAAAGUCAACAUUUUCACUUUUCACUUCUUCUUCUUUUUUUUUUUUGAAAAAGGACUAGAAAUUAUUUAAAAACAAUAAUGCAAAAGAAAUAAAUGAAAAACGACACUUUUUGACCAAAAAAUGGGGCUAUGUCGCGAUCAGAAACCAAAAUCUUGAUUUACCUUUUAAUGAUGUGUCGAAUAAAAAUCAUGUGUCAACAGAGAGUCGCCAUUAGCCUCAGUUUUGGGGAUCGGCUAGAAACCCAAUCGAGGGUUGGGAGUAUUACCUCAAUUUCUAUGCAACCAGAUAUUUAAGUUCGGGAACUUAUGUUACGCCAAUAUUUCUAUUAACACCAUUUCAGUACCUAAACGGUUUGUUGUGUUUACCUAACAUGUCCAUGCAUUUCUUCUUAUAUUUUCAGGAUCAUUAGUCCUAAAUUAAACAAUCAUGUGUGGUUGGCCAUUUUCAUGCUAAUUUAUUUUUUAGGAAAAUGAAAAGAAAUCACUCAAUUAAAUUGAAAAUCGUGAAGCGAUAAAUAAACAAACAAGGAAAAUGGUAAAUCUACCAUGCAAUCCUAGAAAAUAUAAGAGAGGAACACAAUUAAAAAAGAUAAGAAAAAGAGAGGACCCACAAUUCGUCGAGCUUUAUACAACAAAAGAAACCCGAGACAUACGUUGAGGAAAUGAAUAGUACAUAAUUAUGGUUGGAAUGGACAUCAACCUCCACUAUCUUCAUGUCUUCUCCAUCUUCAGGAUCCUAAUUUAAACCUAGAUUAGAAAAUUAUAUAAUAAGUACAUACAAUGGAAAGAAAUAAGCAUACACAUCAAAACAAUCAAAAACACGAUAUCAUGCCAAAAUCAAUCUUUCAAAAGAAAUUCAAUGCAAAAAGAAGAUUUAGGCCUUGGGAUCGGCCUUUGAAAUUCAUACGCAGGUCUCUCUAAGACGCUUGCCCGGUUCAUUUUAUGAUUUACAACUAUUAUUGACCAAUUGUGCUCUCGCAUGGCCAAUAACACUUAUAAGUUUUCUAACCAAGCAAUCUAUGUGAUACUAGGGUUUUCCUUCGAUAUCAUGCAUCGACCCUACCAUUUAUCUAGAAAUCACAUGCAUUGCAGGAAUUAAACAUGCAUACAAAUCUUUUGGACCUUGUUUCUCAAUCAAUCAAACAAGUGAGUGAGCUAUUAGAGGAUCAUUUAUUACCAAAGACAUGCACCAAUCACAAACACAGGUGCUUCUAAAUGAAUAAUGUGUUUAUAUGCAUGGGAGGUACAUGCGAUAUUUUAAAGAAAUCUUUCGAAAUCAUCCACAAAAAAAUUUUGAGAUAAAGUGAUGUCUUGGCUAUAAAAGGUAUUCAAUUCCCAAUGCUAGCCCAAGGCUCGCAUAAAUGCACUCACAAGCAUCACGAGCAGUUUGAAUGCAAUUCAAACCAUGACCUUCAAAAUUAUCAAAUCAAGAUUUAAGAAAAAUUUUGAAAAUAUUUCAUAUUAAGAGAUAUCUAAAUUAUGGAACACAUUUAAUUGCCAAGACUAGCUUGAGGCUCGCAUAAAUGCACUCACAAGUGUCGCAAGCAUUUUGAAUAUGGUAUAAACAAUUACUUUGCCUUAAGCCAAAUCGAGCUUUUGGAAAAGAACUUUUUAACAAAUUGUUUUUGAGAAACAACACAUGUACCAAAGCAUUUUUAAACUUAAUUUAAAAAAAAAAUCGUCCAAAAUCAUUUAACAAUGAAUAUCAAUGUACUUAAAGCAACUUUUAUGAAGAUAAAAUGACCUAGGUUCAUGCACAAACUAACCUUAGGAAGUUUAUCUAAACAAUCACGAUCAAGCUCAUGUUAGGAAAUUUCAUAAUAGACAUCCUAACAAACAUGUAAAAAUAGCAAAAUUGAGCAAUGUCUAAUGACAAGUUGGCGAUUACAAAAUUCCCUAACAUGCACGAUAGGGUAACAACAAUUUCGUGAAUAAAGUUUUCCUAAAUGAGCUACACAUAAUUUUACAAAAAUCAUAUAACAAGAAACAGCAUGUUAGAAAAUUGUCAAAAUAGCAAGACACUCAACCAAUAUCAUAAGGAUUAGUCCUAUCAAAACAAAUCUAAAAAUCACCAUAUUUUAACACAACAUAGCAACAUAAUAAAAAACAAGUUUCAUUAAGGGAUCAAGUGCAGAAUCCUUAUGAAAAAAAUAGAACAAAAAUGUCAAA
rnacentral:lncRNA from 1 species